UAUGGUAAGCCAGCAGCCGCGGUAAAACGUAGGUCACAAGCGUUGUCCGGAAUUACUGGGUGUAAAGGGAGCGCAGGCGGGAAGACAAGUUGGAAGUGAAAUCCAUGGGCUCAACCCAUGAACUGCUUUCAAAACUGUUUUUCUUGAGUAGUGCAGAGGUAGGCGGAAUUCCCGGUGUAGCGGUGGAAUGCGUAGAUAUCGGGAGGAACACCAGUGGCGAAGGCGGCCUACUGGGCACCAACUGACGCUGAGGCUCGAAAGUGUGGGUAGCAAACAGG
rnacentral:rRNA from 1 species